CAGGUCCAGCUGCAGCAGUCUGGGGCUGAAAUGGUGAGGCCUGGGGCCUCAGUGAAGAUGUCCUGCAAGGCUUUUGGCUACACAUUCACUGACUAUGGCAUGCAUUGGGUGAAGCAUAGUCACGGAAGGCAUCCUUGAGAGGAUUGGAAAUAUUAAUACUUACUAUGACAAUACUGGCUACAAUGAAAAGUUCAAGGGCAAGUCCAAAUUGACUGUAGACAAAUCCUCCAGCACAGCCUAUGUGGAGUUUAGCAGAAUGACAUCUGAGGAUUCUGUAGUCUAUUACUGUGAAAGA